UUCAGAGGUCUCAAGCGUUGUUCGGAUUCAUUGGGCGUAAAGGGUGCGUAGGCGGCGCGGUAAGUCGGGUGUGAAAUCUCGGAGCUUAACUCCGAAACUGCAUUCGAUACUGCCGUGCUUGAGGACUGGAGAGGAGACUGGAAUUUACGGUGUAGCGGUGAAAUGCGUAGAUAUCGUAAGGAAGACCAGUGGCGAAGGCGGGUCUCUGGACCGUAACUGACGCUGAGGAGCGAAAGCAUGGGGAGCGAACAGG
rnacentral:rRNA from 1 species